rnacentral:rRNA from 1 species
AUUGAACGCUGGCGGCAGGCCUAACACAUGCAAGUCGAGCGGAUGAAGGGAGCUUGCGCCUGGAUUCAGCGGCGGACGGGCGAGUAAUGCCUAGGAAUCUGCCUGGCAGUGGGGGAUAACGUCCGGAAACGGGCGCUAAUACCGCAUACGUCCAGAGGGUGAAAGGGGGGGAUCUUCGGACCACACGGUAUCAGAUGACCCUAGGUCGGAUUAGCUAGUUGGUGUGGUAACGGCCUACCAAGGCGACGAUCCGUAACUGGUCUGAGAGGAUGAUCAGUCACACUGGAACUGAGACACGGUCCAGACUCCUACGGGAGGCAGCAGUGGGGAAUAUUGGACAAUGGGCGAAAGCCUGACCCAGCCAUGCCGCGUGUGUGAAGAAGGUCUUCGGAUUGUAAAGCACUUUAAGUUGGGAGGAAGGGCAGUAAGUUAAUACCUUGAUGUUUUGACGUUACCAACAGAAUAAGCACCGGCUAACUUCGUG